GUAUAGCUUUCUGUUAUGCUGUUUGUGGAGUACCGGUUGCCUUUGUUUUCUGCUUGUUGUUCUGUUUUUGGAUCUUUGUUUUUUGUGAAUUAAUAAACUGUACUUGGAUCUUAUGUUUUCCACAAGUGAUCUGUAACAUAAUACUGAAGACUACAUCAGAUCCAGCAGUUGGGCAGAGUUCUCUGUUUCUUUUAGACUAUGGGCAUUCAUCUUCUUCCUCCAGCCACUAGCAAGGAGCAGAUUUUUUUUUUUUUCAGGUUUCCAGCGGUGGGGCUGGAUUACAAUGAUGCGGUGCUCAAGGUUUUUUUUUUUUUAUUUUUUUAUUGGUUGCCUGGAUGAACCUCGGCCCUGUGAGAUGGAAGCACUUCAGACUCUGGGUUAUUGGGGUUUUGUUAACUAUCUGUUACCGUAGUUUGCAGGCCAGUCUGAGCCCAUUGCAGUGCACCCGGAGAUUCCAGAGUCUGCUGUAACCUCUCCAGAGAACAAUGAAGUUUCCCUAGCUCUGGUGGUCCUGGAGGACCCAACUACGGUUGUCCCGAGUCUGGUGGUCCUGAGUCUGGUGGUCCUGGAGGACUGACUCUGGUGGUCCUGAGUCUGGUGGUCCUGGAGGACCCGUCUCUGGUGGUCUGAGGCCACCCCAGAGCCUGCUGCAGUCUGGGAGCCCAAGAGAAAAGAGGUGAACCUCUGAAACCUUCCCUUUUUUUUCUUCAAGUGUCCCCUGCUCGCCUCCCUCAUUGACGGCCACAGGCUUCUUAUCAAGACAAGGUUUGAGCUCUGCCAUGUGGUUGGGUUUUACCUUGUUCACGCUCACACCUCCUCUGUUUGCUUCAUCUCCACAAGAUAUUUGCUGUCCAAUAAUCAACACCGUAAAUCGCUAUCAAAAGCUGUUGAUAUCACAACUCCUACUCACCACGAAGUGAUUUAUAAUAGUCCUGUGUCAUGUUAUAAGACUCCUGGAAUUCCUCUGAUAAGGGCUCAUACUGAGCUGAUUGCAGGAGAUUCUCACACGCAUUAAAACAAUGUGUAUUCAAAAUGAAUUUCAAUUCUUAUAUCGUUUCACCUUCAGUUUUCUUCAUUUUAAUUAUACGGGAAGAAUUUAUGUAAAUAUAUUGCUAUUAAAUGUUUGUUUAAAGUUACAAAUUUUGUUUUCAGUAAGAAAGCGUGAAGACGGAUGUUUCAUUUGUGCAGCAGCCCCCAAAAUAAUAUCUAAUGUGAUCCAGUACAUCUUGACUUAUUGACUAGCUUGUUAAAUAGCAAAAAUUGCUAUUUCAAAAGAUGCUGAAAAAUACAAAUAAUGAACAACCACAACAAAAAGACCUUACAACUGCAACAAUGUUUUUAACGGCAAGAAUAGUAAAUUCCAUAGAGGGUUAGUAAGUAAACUUUAUUUAUACAGCACAUUUAAACCUAGCAAAGCUAUCCAAAGUGCUAAACAAAGUAAAGGAAAGUUAAAGACAGAAUAAAACCAGACAAAACAGACAAAACAAAAUUGGAGUUUAAAAUGCUAAAGAGUAUGUUUUCAACUUCGAUUUACAGAUGGCAAUAGAGGGUGC
ensembl:lncRNA